UCCACAGUAGCUCAGUCGGUAGAGCAAUCGGCUGUUAACCGAUCGGUCGCAGGUUCGAGUCCUGCCUGUGGAGCCA
rnacentral:tRNA from 1 species